ensembl:lncRNA
GAGGGGUAUAGAGGGGUUCAGAAAGGUAGAGAGGGGUGCAGAGGGGUAGAGAGGGGUGCAGAGGGGUAGAGAGGGGUGCAGAGGGGUAGAGAGGGGUGCAGAGGGGUAUAGAGGGGUGCAGAGGGGUAUAGAGGGGUGCAGAGGGGUACAGAGGGGUGCAGAGGGGUACAUAAAGGUAGAGAGGGGUAUAGAGGGGUGCAGAGGAGUACAGAAAGGUAGAGAGGGGUGCAGAGGGGUACAGAGGGGUAUAGAGGGGUGCAGAGUUGUAGAGAAAUGUAGAGAGGGGUGCAGAGGGGUAGAGAAAGAUAGAGAGGGGUAGAGAGGGGUGCAGAGGGGUAGAGAGGGGUGUAGCGGGGUAGAGAGGGGUAUAGCGGGGCAGAGAAGGGUACAGAGGGAGAUGUGUGUGUUGUUUUUGGCAGGGUUAAAGGGAGCUCAUUUCACACCCCUGUA